GGCCGUGUGGUGUAGUGGUAGCAUACUUGCUUUGGGAAAAUUUCCUCUCAAAAGCUGUUGCAAGUGGUCCCAGGUUCGAGCCCUGGCUCGGCCC